CCAAUAGCGUAUAUUAAAGUUGUUGCAGUUAAAAAGCUCGUAGUUGAAUUUCGGGAUCGAAUUGUUGGUCGUGCUUCGGUACGCACUGGCAUUAUCGGUUCCUACCUUCUGAAGAACCGCGAUGUCAUUAAUUUGGUGUCGUGGGGAAUCAGGACUGUUACUUUGAAAAAAUUAGAGUGUUUAAAGCAGGCUUACGCUUGAAUACAUUAGCAUGGAAUAAUGAAAUAGGACGUUUGAUUCUAUUUUGUUGGUUUCUAGGAUCGACGUAAUGAUUAAUAGGGAUAGUUGGGGGCAUUAGUAUUCAAUUGUCAGAGGUGAAAUUCUUGGAUUUAUUGAAGACUAACUACUGCGAAAGCAUUUGCCAAGGAUGUUUUCAUUAAUCAAGAACGAAAGUUAGGGGAUCGAAGACGAUCAGAUACCGUCGUAGUCUUAACCAUAAACUAUGCCGACUAGGGAUCGGAUGAUGUUAAUUUUUUAAUGACUCAUUCGGCGCCUUACG
rnacentral:rRNA from 1 species